rnacentral:piRNA from 1 species
CAACCUGAUCUGGACUUGCACUCCUGUAG